rnacentral:rRNA from 1 species
AACGAACGCUGGCGGCAGGCUUAACACAUGCAAGUCGAACGGUUGUAGCAAUACAGCAGUGGCGCACGGGUGAGUAACGCGUGGAUAUCUGCCUUUUGGUUCGGAAUAACUCCGGGAAACUGGAGCUAAUACCGGAUGGUUCCUACGGGAUAAAGGUUUAUCGCCAAAAGACGAGUCCGCGUACGAGUGGCUAGUUGGUGGGGUAAUGGCCCACCAAGGCGACGAUCGUUAGCUGGUCUGAGAGGACGCUCAGCCACACUGGGACUGAGACACGGCCACGUGUCCUACGGGAGGAAGCAGUGGCGAAUAUUGGACAAUGGGGGCAACCCUGAUCCAGCCAUGCCGCGUGAGUGAUGAAGGCCUUCGGGUUGUAAAGCUCUUUUGGCGGGGACGAUGAUGACGGUACCCGCAGAAUAAGCCCCGGCUAUCUUCGUGCCAGCCGCCGCCGUAAGAC